rnacentral:tRNA from 1 species
ACCUGGGUGGCUCAGCUGGUUGAGCACCUGACUUUGGCUCGGGUCAUGAUCUCGUGGUUCGUGGGUUCGAGUCCCCCUUCGGGCU